ACGCUUGAAGUCAGUCACAUUAGCUGGAAAUCAACCUUGCUCUUUUGUGGGGUGUACUUUCUAGUUGAUGGGUCAGCAUCAAUUUUGACUGUUGGAAAAAGGUUGAGGGAAUGUGGCAUCUUCGGAUGUGUUAUAGCCCUUGAUUGUAUACAACAGUUGGGAUUGAGGAACUCAGCAUGCCGCAAGGCCGGGUUAUUAACCACGUAACAUGCUUAGGAUGCUGGCAAAAUGGCUUUAAUCGACCCGUCUUGAAACACGGACCAAGGAGUC
rnacentral:rRNA from 1 species